rnacentral:rRNA from 1 species
GCUACGGGUGGCAGCAGUGGGGAAUAUUGGGCAAUGGGCGCAAGCCUGACCCAGCAACGCCGCGUGAAGGAAGAAGGCUUGCGGGUUGUAAACUUCUGUUCUGGGGGACGAACAAAUGACGGUACCCCAGGAAUAAGCCACGGCUAACUACGUGCCAGCAGCCGCGGUAAUACGUAGGUGGCAAGCGUUAUCCGGAUUUAUUGGGGGGAAAGGGCGGGUAGGCGGGAAUGCAAGUCAGAUGUGAAAACUCAGGGAUCAACCCUGAGCCUGCAUUUGAAACUGUGUUUCUUGAGUGCUGGAGAGGCAAUCGUAAUUCCGUGUGUAGCGGUGAAAUGCGUAGAUAUCCGGAGUAACACCAGUGGCGAAGGCGGAUUGCUGGACCGUAACUGACGCUGUGGCGCGAACGCGUGGGGAGCAAACAGGAUUAGAUACCCUUGUAGUC